rnacentral:miRNA from 1 species
AGGAGCGAACAAUGUUGUGCUGCACCCCGUGAACAAUAUUGUUAACAAGUUGUUGAACCAUCAAUGUUGUUGCAACUUGUUGACAAUCAUGUUAACAAGUUGCAACAACAUUGAUGGUUCAACAACUUGUUAACAAUAUUGUUCACGGGGUGCAGCACAACAUUGUUCGCUACU